rnacentral:tRNA from 1 species
CUCUGGUAACAAGGGUACUCCCUGUAUGCGGGUCUACAAUCCGCUGCCUAUUCCUCGGCCAUAUUACC